UACAGAGGGUGCAAGCGUUAAUCGGAAUUACUGGGCGUAAAGCGUGCGUAGACGGUUAUGUAAGUCAGAUGUGAAAGCCCCGGGCUCAACCUGGGAAUUGCAUUUGAGACUGUGUAGCUAGGGUGCGGAAGAGGGAAGCGAAAUUUCCGGUGUAGCGGUGAAAUGCGUAGAUAUCGGAAGGAACACCAGUGGCGAAAGCGGCUUCCUGGUCCAGCACCGACGUUCAGGCACGAAAGCGUGGGGAGCAAACAGG
rnacentral:rRNA from 1 species